AAACUUCUCCUCCUCCAUCUUCGUCCCCACGGUUAAUCAACAAACUCGAAACUCGUUCACCAUGCUUGCUUUAUACAACUUGUGACGAAACCAAUCAGUGUGUUUGUGACGAAAAUCUCACCAGAAAUUGGGUUCAAUCAAUAACAAGCGUUUUCAUGCGAACCGGAGUUUGAUUGCAGAACUUGUUGAUUCACCAUCUCUGCCCCAACUCAAGCCAUGAGCUGUGAAGUUUGUCAACUCAAAGAAUUGGAAGUGGGUCACUUUGAAUUUGAGAUACAAGAGGUUCUGCGCUGCAUACUACAUACAAUUUUGUUUCAUCGAGCUCUUGGUCUUGUGAGGCCCAAAGAUGCUGAUUUGGAACUUUUUGAUAUUACAUAUGUCCAAUGUGGAGAUUUGGAAAUUGAAAAGAAAAUCGAGGAGAAGAUUGAGCAAUUUAUUAGUUGGGUUGAGAAACACCCCAACAAAAAAAGUCAGUUUGUGCAGAUAUGUUUGUCAUUUUAUGAAGUGAAGAAUAAGCAAGCCUCUUGGUUCACAAACAAAAUAGAGCGCCUAUAUUGGGAACAGUGGUACAUUAACUUAAAUGUGUCCCAGCUUCAAAGGACAACUUCUAGCAAGUCUCGUCGUACCAAAGUUGUCGAGCCAGGAGAGAACGCCAUGGAGGAGAGAAGCGCUCGAAGGGCAGCUCUCGAAGCAUCUCUUCGUGAUGUUAUGUUUCAAAUAAUUAAAUUUGUGAAUGAGAAGAAGGAUCAUGUUCCCCCUAUCCCGAAUCGCGAGGGUGUGAUUUCUUAUCCUUAUGAAAUCACUAUCCCCAGUUCAUCGGAUUCUGCAUUUGGGAUGGACAUGAUCAAGAGGAUGCUUCAGACUGGACAUCCAACCAUGCUUAGCUGAACUUUGUUAUGUCAAUUCUCCAGUUGGGCCCUUUCCUAAUAUCGCCAAAAGAAGAAAAUCUGGUGAGACAAUGACAUGGACACCUAAUCUUUCCUUAUUCAUUUAAUCUUUCCUUUUUUUUUUUUUUUCUUUCUUUCCUUUUUAAAUAUAAAUUUGUACAUACUUUUAUUGCACCGUCCACUAUUUUUGUAGCAUCUAUUGUCUUUUCCACUUUAUACAUCUUUGUAUUAUAUGUAUUGUAAUGGUUUAAUGAAAAAUCUUGCGAACGGUCUUUCUUUC